rnacentral:rRNA from 1 species
CCUACGGGUGGCUGCAGUGGGGAAUAUUGGGCAAUGGGCGCAAGCCUGACCCAGCAAUUCCGCGUGAAGGAAGACGGCCCUCGGGUUGUAAACUUCUUUUGUCAGGGACGAAGAAAGUCACGGUACCUGAUGACUAAGCUACGGCUAACUACGUGCCAGCCGCCGCGGUAAUACGUAGGGGGCACGCGUUAUCCGGAUUUACUGGGUGUAAAGGGCGUGAAGGCGGGACUGCAAGUCAGAUGUGAAAUUCCAGGGCUCAACCCUGGAACCGCAGUUGAGACUGCAGUUCUUGAGUGAUGGAGAGGGAGGCGGAAUUCCGUGGGUAGCAGUGAAAGGCGUAGAUAUGCGGAAGAACACCAGUGGCGAGGGCAGCCUGCUGGACAUUAACUGACGCUGAGGCGCGAAAGCGUGGGGAGCAAACAGGAUUAGAUACCCGAGUAGUC